rnacentral:rRNA from 1 species
AACGAACGCUGGCGGCAGGCCUCAUACAUGCAAGUCGAGCGAUUAAGACUCCUUCGGGAGUGUAUAAAGCGGCGAACGGGUGAGUAACAGGUGGAUGAUCUACCUUCCGGUGGGGGAUAACGGCUGGAAACGGCCGCUAAUACCGCAUUCGGUUAAUACGCUGUGGCGUAUUAAAGAAAGGCGCCUCAAAGCGCCGCCGGGAGAUGAGUCCGCCCCCCAUUAGCUAGUUGGUGAGAUAACAGCUCACCAAGGCAACGAUGGGUAGCCGAACUGAGAGGUUGAUCGGCCACACUGGAACUGAGACACGGUCCAGACACCUACGGGUGGCAGCAGUAGGGAAUAUUGGGCAAUGGGCGAAAGCCUGACCCAGCCAUGCCGCGUGAGUGAUGAAGGUCCUAGAGAUUGUAAAACUCUUUUCUGUAGGAAAGAAUGAAUAGGGAAGGAAAUGUCCUUAUUUUGACGGUACCUCAGGAAUAAGGAACGGCUAACUCCGUAGCCAGCAGCCGCGGUAAA